rnacentral:rRNA from 1 species
CAAUAGCGUAUAUUAAAGUUGUUGCAGUUAAAAAGCUCGUAGUUGGAUUUGUGGCUGUCACGGGCGGCCUAUCACUUAGUGUUAGUGCUUGCCUGUGUCGCCAUCCUUGGGUGGAGCCCGUGUGGCAUUAGGUUGUCGUGCGGGGGAUGCCCAUCGUUUACUGUGAGAAAAUUAGAGUGUUCAAAGCAGGCUUAUGCCAUUGAAUAUGUUAGCAUGGAAUAAUAAGAUAGGGCCUCGGUACUAUUUUGUUGGUUUGCGCACCGAGGUAAUGAUUAAUAGGGACAGUUGGGGGUAUUCGUAUUUCAUUGUCAGAGGUGAAAUUCUUGGAUUUCUGAAAGACGAACUACUGCGAAAGCAUUUACCAAGGAUGUUUUCAUUAA